rnacentral:lncRNA from 1 species
CCAAUUUUCAUUAAGAAAGGCUGCAAAAUUCUUACGAGUGGUCCAAGCGGCUUCGAAUCUAAAAGGGCGAGGAGAUCCUUGCCAACUCUCACUCGAAUAGUUCGGUUCAACUAAGAUAGGGUGAUAAUCAAAUUUAAUUCGAGGUAAUACCUUCACCCGCAUUUCAGGAAACUGCAAUCUCCAAGCCUGGUUACCAGAGGCUCUAUCCAACCUCUCAUAGACAUGCCCAUGCCCCUCUCUACUCUGGCCUUUCCCAGUGAAUUUUGGUCUCAAGCUAGAUCCAUCAGACCACAAUCCUGCACCCAUUUACCAAAACGAAUACACCUUCUCAUGUCAGCUGGCUCCCCUCCUACUUUUUCUGAACAUGAGAGAAUCUCAUUGAAGUCCCCAAGUAGCAUAGUUUCCUUACCCGUCAGCUGAGAUUUUGCUCCUUUAUCACUUUCCUGAAAUUUCUGCCCUGAAUUAGAGGGAUUAGGUGCACCCGUGAUGCCAGGGGUUUUACUCCCCUUCCUUCCCGUCCUGUUCGCAAUCAUCCAUUUGCCGUAGGGAUCAACCACCUAUGGUCUAACCACAGGAGCUUCUUCAUGUGGCGCCACUUCAAGAUUCAUCUCCUCCGGCUCAUUGGAACAACCAGACUGUUGCUUAUCUCUACCAUCUUCAUUAUGGUGUUGGACGUGGGGACAAAUCUCCUUCUUGUGUCCAUAUUGACCACAUCCUUUUUUUCUGUCCGCAUUUUCUCCAAUAACAUCGUAAAAUAUCCUGUGC